ACCUGACUGGCUCAGUCAGUAGAGCAUGUGACUCUUGAUCUUGGGGUUGUGAGUUUGAGCCCCACAUUGGGUG
rnacentral:tRNA from 1 species